rnacentral:rRNA from 1 species
AGAGUUUGAUCCUGGCUCAGAUUGAACGCUGGCGGAAUGCUUUACACAUGCAAGUCGAGCGGCAGCGCGGGGCAACCUGGCGGCGAGCGGCGAACGGGUGAGUAAUGCAUCGGAACGUACCCAUUUGUGGGGGAUAACUAUCCGAAAGGAUAGCUAAUACCGCAUAAGUCCUGAGGGAGAAAGCAGGGGAUCGCAAGACCUUGCGCGAAUGGAGCGGCCGAUGCCGGAUUAGCUAGUUGGUAGGGUAAAGGCCUACCAAGGCGACGAUCCGUAGCGGGUCUGAGAGGAUGAUCCGCCACACUGGAACUGAGACACGGUCCAGACUCCUACGGGAGGCAGCAGUGGGGAAUUUUGGACAAUGGGCGCAAGCCUGAUCCAGCCAUUCCGCGUGAGUGAAGAAGGCCUUCGGGUUGUAAAGCUCUUUCGGCAGGAACGAAACGGUGGGGGCUAAUAUCCCUUGCUAAUGACGGUACCUGAAGAAGAAGCACCGGCUAACUACGUGCCAGCAGCCGCGGUAAUACGUAGGGUGCGAGCGUUAAUCGGAAUUACUGGGCGUAAAGCGUGCGCAGGCGGCUUCCUAAGUCAGAUGUGAAAUCCCCGGGCUUAACCUGGGAACUGCGUUUGAAACUGGGAGGCUAGAGUGCGGCAGAGGGGGGUGGAAUUCCACGUGUAGCAGUGAAAUGCGUAGAUAUGUGGAGGAACACCGAUGGCGAAGGCAGCCCCCUGGGCCAGCACUGACGCUCAUGCACGAAAGCGUGGGGAGCAAACAGGAUUAGAUACCCUGGUAGUCCACGCCCUAAACUAUGUCGACUAGUUGUUGGGGGAGUCUGUCCCUCAGUAACGUAGCUAACGCGUGAAGUCGACCGCCUGGGGAGUACGGUCGCAAGAUUAAAACUCAAAGGAAUUGACGG